GAUGAACGCUAGCGGCAGGCUUAACACAUGCAAGUCGAGGGGCAACACGGGUAGCAAUACCUGGUGGCGACCGGCGCAAGGGUGCGUAACGCGUGAGCAACAUGCCCUAUACAGGGGGAUAAUCCAGGGAAACUUGGUCUAAUAUCCCAUAGUAUUUAGAGGUGGCAUCACCACUAAAUUAAAGUUCCGACGGUACGGGAUGGGCAUGCGUAACAUUAACUGGUUGGUAAGGUAACGGCUUACCAAGGCUAUGAUGUUUAGGGGUCCUGAGAGGGUGGUCCCCCACACUGGUACUGAGACACGGACCAGACUCCUACGGGAGGCAGCAGUGAGGAAUAUUGGUCAAUGGGCGCAAGCCUGAACCAGCCAUCCCGCGUGCAGGAAGACGGCCCUAUGGGUUGUAAACUGCUUUUCCAGGGAGAGAAACUUACGCACGUGUUGCGUGACUGACGGUACCCUGGGAAUAAGCAUCGGCUAACUCCGUG
rnacentral:rRNA from 1 species